AUUAAGAAACUUACUUUUUAGGAGGAAAGUGGUAUGGUCCAUACCAAUUAAGUACUCUCUCCAUCCCAUUAUUCAUGGCCUAUGCCGUUUCGGCAUAGAGAUUAAGGAGAAAAAAUUUAGGUGGAAAGGUGUUCUAUUAGGAGAUUAAUUAAUCCCCCCUCCCCCUCAACAACUAAUGGAAAAAAAUAAUUAAAGGUGGAUCUCCUUCACAAAACCUCAACAUAUGCGAAACCAAUAUUGAAAUAACCUAUACAACAAAAAUUAAAGGUGGAUCUCCAAUUUAUUGAUCCUCUUUUGUAAGUUAAAAAAAAAAAACCUAUGCAACAAAUCCUACGAAUCUCUAGAAGAAAACCUCAACAUAUUAGAAAAAAAAAAAAAACUCAACACAUAUACAACAAUGGGGACAAAGCCACAACCUUUCAUUUUUAAAUAAAGCACGGCGACAGAUGGCGUUAGACGACGAACGGAUCUGGCGCUGCUCCGCUACUAGGGUUUCACUUGGAUGGGGUAAAUGGCGGACGAAUCUGGCACCACGACGCUACUAGGGUUUCAAUCGGAUGGGGUGGACUGGACGGCUGACGAAUAUCUGGCGCUGCGAGAGGGAGAGGGAGGGAGAGG
rnacentral:lncRNA from 1 species